CACGUAGGAGACAACCGUUAUCCGGAGUUACUGGGCGUAAAGGGCGUGUAGGUGGUUUCGUAAGUCUGGCGUGAAAUAUCUCGGCUUAACCGAGGCAGGUCGUCGGAUACUGCGGAACUAGAGGACGGUAGAGGCGUGUGGAAUUCCGGGUGUAGUGGUGAAAUGCGUAGAGAUCCGGAGGAACACCAGUGGCGAAGGCGACACGCUGGGCCGUACCUGACACUGAUGCGCGACAGCAUGGGGAGCAAACAGG
rnacentral:rRNA from 1 species